GGCGCAUGCGGAAGCCGACACCCGCCCGGCGCGCUGAGCGGUGCGGUUUUCCCGCGGGGCCCCCCGCCCUUCACACACGCCCCGCUAGAUUAGCGGCAGAGGGGGGAGCGCACUCACCAUGUCAGCAGCUGCCCUCCGGCCGCCAUCUCGGCGGGCCCCUCAGGGGCGCGAAUUCGCCUAACCCUCGUCUCUGCCGCCGGAGCCUGCUUCCGGGCACGGGCCAAUCAGCGUGGCGGAGCGCCUGGCGGCGGGACGAGGCGUUCUGAGCCAGCCAAUGGCAGCGUGGCUCGAGCAGCGGCUGCAGACGUUGCGGCGGCCAUCUUGUGGCAGGCAGCAACGGUGCAGCAUGGCCGUGUGGGCGCCGGCGACAUGCUGCUUGCCGAGGCCUGUGUCAGUAGCGACUGCAGCACGUCUCGCUGGGAGAGGAAAUGUGCUUAAGGCCUUUCCGAGCUGUGGAUUCCACUCGGAUCGCAUACUUAGGAUAAGUGGAAAGGUUUUUGUCUUCCUACUGAAUCCAGCCAGAGCCCAGUUCUGGAGAUAGGAGUAAUCUUACUUCAAAACUCAGGCAUCAGUGUUUGGAAGAACUGCUAAGAAAUAGGCUGUGUGUGGAACUUACAGAAGAUUGAAACAGAAGGUCAGUUUGGGUAUCACAUGUUAUAACAACUUAAUUGUUAUGCAGGCAGAGAUUUCACGAGGGUUAAGGCAUGUGUACUGCAAAACUGAAAUAGUUUUCUGCAUGGCAGAAACAUUGUGAAGAAAAAUUACAAUAAAAACCUUUGUGGCUUUUUGUGAAGUCCAGCAUUAAAAUCACUCUUUUGAGGCCCUGA